GAUAGGCUACGUCAACAUGCAUUUCUCCCGUACUUUACUAGACGCAAACACGUUAUGCUGUUUUACUUUGCACUAACGUAAAUGUUCAUGAAGUUAAUGCUCACAUCCGUUCACAGAUGUGGACGGAGGGUUAACGGUCAUAGACACUUGGCUAUUUAAUGAAGUACUGUAAUAACUUUAAAUGUAAUUCGUAUUUACUAUGUGGUAGUGUACUAAAGUUAACAUGUAUAUGAAGGCUACCAUAGGGCGAAUAUUAUUAUUAUAAUAUAAUAAGUAUCAUUCAUUUUUUAAAGUCAGACCUCUGAGGUUAAGGUUAAUGUUGAGCUGUUGGAAAAGUGUUGGCUAGCAUUAUCUUUUAAAUCAGAACCAACUUUUACUCAUGUUAUUUUUCUUAUUUCUAUUCAGACUGUUACUACAUGUUUAUUCUUAUUUCAUAUUCACGUAAGGCCAUGUGUGACUAACUGUAGAAACACUUGAUGUGAUAUUAAUCUAACUGUUGCCUCUCAAUCUCAAUGUCAGUUACAGGAACUGGAUCAGGAGGCAGUCCGUCUGGAGCCCCGGGUCCCAACUGGCGCAGCUUAAAGAAUACAUAGAGAGAAGGGACCAGGAGAAGCAGUCUGUCGCCUCCUCAGCUGCAUCAGCAGUUGCCACCUCCUCAGCUGUCUCCCCCUCCACUACAUCUCCCCCAAAGAGCGGAGGAAGAGAAAGGCAGUGGUCCUGUCUUCCUCAGAGGACGAAGACGACCAUCUGAUGGUGGGGGCAGCGGCUCAGGUGGAGGCUGAUUUAGCAUCUCCUCCUCCUCCUCCUCCUCCUCCUCCUCGUCCUGCCCACCAGCAGAGAGCUCUGCCAACUCCACCACUUCCACUACGACAAGUCGCUCCUACCCCUCAGGGCUACCCCCCUGUAAUAAUGUUGUUAUAAACAUCUAGUAUCAGUGUGUAGUUUAAAGCUGCAGCUCAGUGACCUGUGUGUGUGUUGCAGCUGCUCCUGCCGGCAGCCUGGAUGAGCAGCCCUCCCUGCAGAGCAGCACGAGUGGGUCAGCAGGGCUCUGUUUGUGGCUGACAAAGAAGGGAGGCCCGUCCUGUCCCCGGAGUUCCAGCUGUGGCACCACCCCCCCGGCCCCUGGCCGAAGUACUCCCAGCGAGUGCCGUUCACUGCCUAGAAAUGGACCAUAAAGCCCUUACAGAACAUUGCCAAGGGAUCAAUGCAGCUAUCACCAAGCCGGAGGCGGAUGUCAUUGAGAAGGCCACUAAAACACAGGCCAAAUCCAAACUCUGGUAUCGAUACAGAGCUGGGCGGAUUACAGCAUCUCGUAUGAAGGCAGCAUGUUCAACAAGUGCAACUAAACCAUCGCUUAGCUUGAUUAAAGCUAUUUGUUACCCGGAAGCCACAACAUUUAAAACUGCAGCUACUGAAUGGGGAUAUAAUCACGAGAAAUCAGCACGUGAAGAUUACAUUGCAAUUAUGAACCGACAUGGCGGUUUCAUUUGCCAGGACUCUGGGCUCGUGUUAUCGCCAACAUUUCCAUAUUUAGGUGCUACUCCAGAUGGUGUUGUGUCCUGCAAGUGCUGUGGUGUAGGUGUUUUGGAAAUUAAAUGCCCCUACUGUGUUGCUGCACCGUUAGACCAUACAUGCCUGGAAUCACGUGAUGGACAGGACAGGCUGAAGAAGACCCAUGCCUAUUUUUGUCAAGUGCAGACCCAGUUAUUUCUAUGUGAUGUUGAAUAUGCUGACUUUGUUCUGUGGGUGAAUGGAAAGAUUCAUCUUGAACGCAUAACCCCAGAUAUUGACUUUUGGGAGAAGGUAUACCCCAAAGCUCAUGAAUUUUUUCAGAAGGUCAUUCUCCUCGAGUUGAGUGGGCAAUUCUUCACCAGAAUUUCCAGUGCAACUACACCAGUCUCCAUUACUGCACCAAAAAGGCCUCUGUGCCUGAUACCAGACCCCGCUCCAGUCUGACUCAGCCAACCGAUACCCAACCACUGAUACCCAAAUGGUGCCUUUGUCGUGGAGAGGAAAAGCUUCCCAUGAUAGAAUGUGAUAACACAAAUUGUGAAACUACCUGGUUUCAUUUUGAACGUGUUGGUAUAACAGUUGCCCCCAAAGGAAGCUGGUAUUGUGACAAAUGUCAUCAGUAUGCCCCCUCUCAAAAGAAACAGAAGUAGGCUACUAAUCGAUCUGAAUGACAGUGUGUUUAUUUAUUUGAUUCAACAUGUUUCUUUUACAUCAAAUCUAUAUAAAGAACAUGUAAGUGUAACAAUCAAAAAAAGUUGUGCACACUAAAAUGACACAAAAAGCAUCAUUAUUUAAACUGACACUCAAAGAGCAAAACCUCAGCUCAAAUCUCCAAAACUCUUAACACAUUUUCAGCUCUGCACCCAAUUUGCAAUUCUACUUUCCACCUUUUGAAAAGUUUCUGCACAUAUUUUUUUGUCGACUUGAACAAUCUUUACUUGCUGAAUUCUCUAUAUCAAACGCCAUAAAAGAUCAGUGUGCUUGAGCACGAUGGUGUGUAGUUGGUUUUACAAAAUGUCUUGUACUAUGAAUGAAGUGUGUGCCAUUUGGUGCAAAAGUUUGGUUUUGGUAAGUGUUUAUGUAGUUUUGGGUGUUUUGCACUUUGUGUGU